rnacentral:snRNA from 1 species
AAACGGUGGUGUUCAGGGAU